rnacentral:rRNA from 1 species
UGGGGAAUAUUGGACAAUGGGCGAAAGCCUGAUCCAGCCAUGCCGCGUGUGUGAAGAAGGUCUUCGGAUUGUAAAGCACUUUAAGUUGGGAGGAAGGGCAUUAACCUAAUACGUUAGUGUUUUGACGUUACCGACAGAAUAAGCACCGGCUAACUCUGUGCCAGCAGCCGCGGUAAUACAGAGGGUGCAAUCGUUAAUCGGAAUUACUGGGCGUAAAGCGCGCGUAGGUGGUUUGUUAAGUUGGAUGUGAAAGCCCCGGGCUCAACCUGGGAACUGCAUCCAAAACUGGCAAGCUAGAGUACGGUAGAGGGUGGUGGAAUUUCCUGUGUAGCGGUGAAAUGCGUAGAUAUAGGAAGGAACACCAGUGGCGAAGGCGACCACCUGGACUGAUACUGACACUGAGGUGCGAAAGCGUGGGGAGCAAACA